rnacentral:rRNA from 1 species
GUUGAUAGGCGGCAGGUGUAAGCAUGGUAACAUGUUCAGCCGAGCCGUACUAAUCGCCCGUUCGACUUAACUCC